rnacentral:rRNA from 1 species
CCUACCCAUUACUAGGGAAUAACCCAGCGAAAGUUGGCCUAAUGCCCUAUGUAGUCGUUUGAUCGCCUGAGAUUUCGACGAAAGAUUUAUCGGUAUUGGAUGGGGGAUGCGUCUGAUUAGCUUGUUGGCGGGUAAAGGCCCACCCAAGGCAACGAUCAGUAGGGGUUCUGAGAGGAAGGUCCCCCACAUUGGAACUGAGACACGGUCCAAACUCCUACGGGAGGCGGCAGUGAGGAAUAUUGGUCAAUGGGCGAGAGCCUGAACCAGCCAAGUAGCGUGCAGGAUGACGGCCCUAUGGGUUGUAAACUGCUUUUAUAUGGGAAUAAAGUGAGGGACGUGUCCCUUAUUGCAUGUACCAUACGAAUAAGGACCGGCUAAUUCCGUGCCAGCAGCCGCGGAAU